rnacentral:lncRNA from 1 species
UCGUAAUCAAAUAUUGAGUAGAUAUGAAUGAAUAUUUAUAUAUAUACAUACACACACGUAAGUAUUAAAAAUGAUACAAUGCCCAUUUACCCACUGCCCAGUUUAAUAGAAAGAAUGUUACCUUUGCCAUUGCUGUCUCUCAUAUGCCUUUCAUUUUACCCAGUUAUCUCUCUGUUCAGGGGAGCAUAAUCCAGAAUUUUGUUUUUAUCACUUCCUUGCUUUUCUUCAUAGUUUUAAUACAUAUGUUGGUAUCAUUAAACUUACUUUUUUUUUCAUUUUUCUUUCCUUUUUUUUUUUUUUUUUUUUGAGACGGAAUCUUGCUGUGUCACCCAGGCUGGAGUGCAGGGGCACGAUCUCCGCUCACUGCAAGCUCCACUUCCCGGGUUCGUGCCAUUCUCCUGCCUCAGCCUCCCGAGUAGCUGGGAUCACAGGCACCCGCCACCACGCCCGGCUAAUUUUUUUGUAUCUUUUUGGUAGAGACGGGGUUUCGCCGUGUGAGCCAGGAUGUUCUCGAUCUCCUGAUCUCGUGAUCUUCCCGCCUUGGCCUCCCAAAGUGCUGGAUUACAGGAGUGAGCCACCGUGGCCCGGCCUAAACUUAUUUUUUUUUUCACUAAACAUGUUCCUGAAUUCAUCCAUAUUGUUUUGUGUAACUGUAAUUUGUUAUUUUUUCUCAAAUACAUAGUAUUUUGUUAGAUAAAAAUGUCAGAAUUUGUUUAUUGCUUUUAUAAUAAUGGGCAUAUGGUUAGAUUCUAGGUUUUUUGUUUUUGUUUUUGUGUUCUUAAACAGUAUCUUCUGGUGAACAUGUAAAAUAAUGUUUCUAGAAUAUAUACCAAAGAGUGAAAGUGCUAUAAGAAAAGAGAGAGAAAAUGUGGAGAACUCCUAUUCUGCCUUCAGCAACCUUGGACCGGAAGAGAAACAUCACUUCUCUCCACAUUUCCAUUGGUGAGAACUCAGUCACAUGCUCCCAAUGGACUUACUAGCUCUAUCUCAGGUUACAGUAAGAGUCCACUGGGACUUACUAGCGCUCUCUGUGUAGUCUGACUGUGUGCCAGAAAGAAGAAGUAUAGCACUGUUUGGUUCAGAGACCCGUAAUUCCAGCUACUUGAGAGUCUGUCUCAAAAAAAGUGUUUUAUUCCUAAAAACUAUUGACAGAAUAGUCAUUAAAUUAUUUGAUUGUUAACUCUGUACUCCAGACAUGACAUAUCAUUGGUAAUGAUCUGUAUUGUUCAUAAAAUUUUUUCUAGUGGAAAUAUAAUGUGAGCCACAUAUUUAACUUAAAAUAUUCAAGUAGCAAUAUUUUUUAAAAGAAAAAGAAACAACUGAAAUCAAUUUAAUGUUUUAUUUAAUUUGAUAUAUUUCAAAUAUCAUUGAAACAUGUAAUCAAUAUAAAAUAUUAAUGACAUUUUUAAUAAUCUUUUGUUGUACUAAGUCUGAAAUUUAGUGUGUGUGAUGGUUAAUAUUGAAUGUCAACUUGAAUGGAUUGAAGAAAGCAAAGUGUUGAUCCUAGCUGUGUCUAUGAGGGUGUUGCCAAAGGAGAUUAACAUUUGAGUCAGUGGACUGCUAGAGGCAGACUCACCCUCAAUCUGGCUGGGCACCACCUAAUCAGCUGCCAGCGUGGCUAAAAUAAAGCAGGUAGGAGAAGGUGGAAGAGCAGACUUGCUGAGUCUCGGCCUUCAUCUUUGUCCUGUGCUGGAUGCUUCUUGCCCUCAAACAUCUGACUCCAAAUUCUUCAGCUUUUUGACUCUUGGACUUACACCAGUGGUUUGCCACAGACUAAAGGCUGCACUGUUGGCUUCCUUAUUUUUGAAGUUUUGGGACUUGGACUGAGAUACUACUGGCUUCCUUGCUCCUCAGCUUGCUGACAGCCUAUCGUGGAACUUCACCUUGUGAUCAUGGAGAGUUCAAGGCUCAGAAUAAAUCAAGUCCCUUUGUGUUAAGAAGCACAUCAGCCUUUAACAAAUGCAGAAUUACUGGGAAAGGAGUAGUAUACAUAGAUGGUGUCUGUGCCACUCUAGACUUGCUCCAAGACUGUGUCUAUUUUGUUAACCAUCUGAUGCAGAAAGAAGGAAGAAAUAGAGAGAGAAGGAAAGAAGAAAGAAAGAAAAAGAAAGGAAGAAAUAGAGAAGCAAGAAGAAAGAAAGAAAAAGAAAGAAAUCAAAAGAAAGAAAGAACAAAGAGAAAAGGAAGGAAAGAAGGAAGGAAGGGAGGGAGGGAGAGGGGAGGGGAGGGGAGGGGAGAGAGGAAAAUAAGAGUUAUCUCAGUUUUCUCCUUGGUUAGUGAGAGUUCACAUUGACAUGUGUGUAACUUAUCAUGAUAGCAACAGGCAUUUUAGGCUCAUUUAACUAGAACCCAGGCACUGCUCAUAUGUACAAUAGCUUCAUUCCUUUUUCAUUCUUUUUCUCUCCUUCCUUUACUUACCCCAGCAUCUAUUGAUGUUCUGGAAAUGCCUUUAUUUUUAAGAGAGAAACGAUGAGUUUUGGUAUUGGGAGACAGUGCUCCACAAAUAUUUUCAUGUUUCCUCAUGGUCAGAGCUUUAUGAACAAACAACACUGAACAAAGAACAUUUGACUGAAUAUCAAAUGUUUUAGUCCAUUUGGGAUGCUAUAAGAAAGUACCAUAGACUGGGUAGCUUACAAACAAUAGAAAUUUAUUUCUCACAGUUCUGUGUGCUGAGUCCAAGAUCAAGGCGCCAGCAUAUUCAGUGUCUGGUUAGGGCAUCUGCUUUCUGGUUCAUAGAUGGUGCCUUCUCACUGUGUCCUCACAUGGUGGCAGGGUAAAAAAGCUCCUUCAGGUCCUUUUAUAAAGACUCUAAUCCCAUUCAUGAGGCCUCCACCUUCAUCCUCUAAUCACCUCCCAAAGGCCCCACUUUCUAAUACUGUCACUUUAGGAUUAGGAUUUCAGCGCAUGAAUUUUGAGGAUACACACAUAUUUGGACCAUAGUAUGAAACCUAAAGAUAGAGACCUCAGGAUUUUUCUGUCCCUGAAACCGUUUGUUUACAGUCUAGGGUGGCAAAAUAAAAACCCUCCCCUCUUCUCCACAAAAAUAUUUUUUUUUCCAUUCAAGAGUAAAGUAUUUAUUUCUUCCUCUUUCCAGAAGAAAACAUGGAUGGAUGUCCCAUAAACUUCCAAACUUUAUAACUUCAGGGUUCCUCUUCUCCUGUAGAGCCAACGCCACUGCACAUGCAGUGACAUCAAGCCCUCAUUGUGUUGCUUUGUGAGAACGUGGCAUGCAAAACUUGGUCAGAUAUAAAGUUAUAUAUAUAUUACACACCUCACACAUGUGUGCAUGCACACACACACAUAAAUAUAUAUACAUAAGCAUAUAUACAUAUUGUGGAGGGCUAACUUUGUAGCUUGCAAAUACAGUAAUAUCUCAGAUCUUUCACAGUUUGGACUUAGCAUUUUCAGUGUACUUGCUUGGAGGAAAGAGGAAUAGGUAGCGUGAACUAGUGUGGUUAUGUUUUCUAUUCAGAUACUUUGAGGUCAGAGGUCACACACCAAACUAAACUGCCCAAAGGAAGCAUUGUGAGACAUUGGGCACAUGUAGGGCAGUGUCUUCCAGGCUCAGGUUCAGGCAAUACAUUUAUCAUUGAGCAGCAAAGGAUGAUAUUCUCCUUAUUUCUGCACAAAAGCCAGACCAUUCUGGUUUCUCAAAACAGAACAAUUAUGGCACAUUUGAAUAUAGCAUGUUUGAAAAAGCUGUUUUUUUCCAGCCUUUUACAGAAAGACCAGGGUUGUAUAAAGACUAGGGGUCCUGCCUGCUGCUUGCAAAUUUCUGGCAGCCCUGACUUCCCUGGCUUCUGACCUGCCACUUGUCCAUGAAUUUUCUCUCACUCCUGAGUCCCUCUCGGUGAUUACUGCCUUUGGAUUUUGGUUCCCUUUGACUUUACUUCUCCUGGGGCUAUGGAUUCUUUAGUGUUCUCUCCUUGGCUUUAAGUACUGCAUUCUACCACUACCUCCAUUCCAAUGCUACACCCUACUUCCACCCCAUGCAGAGUGCAGUGCCCUGGGCCUUGGCCUGUCUAGUAGGAGGCACUAGACAGAAAUUACUAAGUGAGAUUGUGUGUCUGGCUAGCAGUGCCUUGCUAGGUGACCAAGGCCAAGUCACUUACCUAUCUGAGGUUCAAUUGUCUCAUUUAUUUAAUCCAGCCUCAGGAACUGGAUUAAACCAUCAAUAAAGAGGCCAUUGUUAUGCCUCAGACAAAUGAUGAUGGGUUUGCCAAAACAAAUGCAGCUACGGUCACUUCAAUACACAACAAACCAAGCUGCAUCAUGAGCUAUUAGACUCUCACUUACACUGGGAAAGAGGGAGAUUCCAGGAGAGUGAAGAAGAAAAAUAAUAGCAGAGAGAAGAGUUAAGUGCACCAAGAAAGAACAUCAAUGUUUCAAACCACAUCUUGAGCUGUCCAUUUUUUCUCAAUAGUUUCCCUUAGGCCAAUCACCAACUUGCCUUGGGAAGUGAAUUGGCUCCAUGGCAACAAGAAAAAUGAUACCUGAGGAAAAUUUUGCAAAGCUAAACCCAAGAGAAACAAUGCCAAGCAAACAUUAAAUAUUUUCAAAAGCAUUUUAUUCUGCCCAUGGUAAUUUCCUGAGUAUAUAUUGCAAGAUCAAUGCCCUCUAUGACUCCUCUGAAUACCCUCC